UGCAAGUCGAGGGGCAGCACGGGUAGCAAUACCUGGUGGCGACCGGCAAACGGGUGCGGAACACGUACGCAACCUUCCCGAAACAGGUGAAUAGCCCUCCGAAAGGAGGAUUAAUACACCGUAAUAUAAUGGAGUGGCAUCACUUUAUUAUUAUAGACAGCAAUGUCGGUUUUGGAUGGGCGUGCGCCUGAUUAGGUAGUUGGUAGGGUAACGGCCUACCAAGCCUUCGAUCAGUAACUGGUGUGAGAGCACGACCAGUCACACGGGCACUGAGACACGGGCCCGACUCCUACGGGAGGCAGCAGUAAGGAAUAUUGGUCAAUGGACGCAAGUCUGAACCAGCCAUGCCGCGUGAAGGAUGAAGGCCCUCUGGGUUGUAAACUUCUUUUAUGGGGGACGAAAAAAGGUCAUUCUUGAUCACUUGACGGUACCCUAGGAAUAAGCACCGGCUAACUCCGUGCCAGCAGCCGCGGUAAUACGGAGGGUGCAAGCGUUAUCCGGAUUUACUGGGUUUAAAGGGUGCGUAGGUGGGUAGGAAAGUCAGUGGUGAAAUCUUCGGGCUUAACCCGGAAACUGCCAUUGAUACUAUUUAUCUUGAAUACUCUGGAGGUAAGCGGAAUAUGUCAUGUAGCGGUGAAAUGCUUAGAUAUGACAUAGAACACCAAUUGCGAAGGCAGCUUACUACAUAGUUAUUGACACUGAGGCACGAAAGCGUGGGGAUCAAACAGGAUUAGAUACCCUGGUAGUCCACGCCCUAAACGAUGGAUACUCGACAUUAGCGAUACACAGUUAGUGUCUGAGCGAAAGCAUUAAGUAUCCCACCUGGGAAGUACGAUCGCAAGAUUGAAACUCAAAGGAAUUGACGGGGGUCCGCACAAGCGGU
rnacentral:rRNA from 1 species